rnacentral:rRNA from 1 species
AUUGAACGCUGGCGGCAGGCCUAACACAUGCAAGUCGAGCGGAGCGGCGGAGGGGGGAGUAAUGCUUGGGAAUCUGCAUGGUAGUGGGGGAUAACGUCCGGAAACGGGCCCUAAUACCGCAUACUAUUAGAUGAGCCUGGGUCGGAUUAGCUAGUUGGUGGGGUAAAGGCCUACAAAGGCGACGAUGCGUAACUGGUCUGAGAGGAGGACCAGUCACACUGGAACUGAGACACGGCCCAGACUCCUACGGGAGGCAGCAGUUGGGAAAAUUGGACAAUGGGCGCAAGCCUGAUGCAGCCAUGCCGCGUGUGUGAAGAAGGGCUUCGGAUUGUAAAGCACUUUUAGAUGGGAGGCGUUACCUACAGAAUAAGCACCGGCUAACUUCGUGCCAGCCGCCGCGGUAAGUC